UUGCGAAGCGAAAAUGGUAAUGUUGUGUGUGCUGUUUGGCCGUGGAUAAGGGCCUGUUUUAAAUGAUGUACGGACUGUCCAAAGUUCCCUUAAGUCAUGUUUAAACAAGUUCGGAUUGAUACAUGAAAGAAUGACUAACAAUAUUAGCUUGUAGUACUAGUUGGUUUGAAUGCGAACGAAACGUCGUCUAAAUGUUGGAAAGGGAUUGUUAACGUUAAAAUACAUAUUGAAUUCCCUCGUAGACUAAUUGUAGCUCUUGAUAUCUUGAUAUAGGAUAAGUACUAUUGGGCAGCAAGUACAAGUUAUAAUACGACUAAACGCUAAAGGUACAGACGCUCAUUUCGGAGAUCCGCCAGCCUAGGAUAUCUAUUCAGCUACUUUGAAGUGCUCCUUUGUUCCGGAGCCUAGCUUGUGGUAUAACUCCCUUUUGUUGUAUAUGUAUGUGUUUAUUUGGGGUACGGCGGGGCCCUGUCCCGUCAUAUGAUACUGUCAUUACUCUUAGAGGUCUGUGGACACAUGUGUGGGUCUGUAUAUAGUUGUUGUUGCAUUGUAUGAAUAUGACUUAUGUUUGGGGCGUA